rnacentral:miRNA from 1 species
AACGAGACAGAGAUAGAACGA